GAAACUCUUAAGUACUUGUAUUCCAUGCAUAAUUGUGCUCCUGAAGAACAGAUACUCUACUUAAGAUGAAUGUUGUAAGAUAAAUCAGUGAGGAGAACUUGCAUAUCUCUGACACUUUGGAUUACCACACUUUUCAGCAAAAUCUGUUUCUGGAAAUCUGCAGUGUUUGAGGUCAAUGUGAACAAUAAAGACACAGAUCAAGGUUAUGCCAUGAUACAGACUCACCACAAGCUGGAGCUUCAAGUUACAGGGGCAUUUAUACUACCAUCAUUUGAAACCCUUCAAGUACAGAUAGUUGCAUUUGCAAUAAAACAUGGAAGGAGCCAUUCCUGGAUGAAAGACCAGUCCAGUGUAGAAGGGGGCAUACUUCUACUGGAGUUGACAAUGAAAUUUGAAAAUAUCAUAACACAAACAGAAUGAGCUGGUAGGGAAAAGGAAAAUGUUAGGAAGAAAACUAAUAAAGCAAAUGCUUUUGGAACUUGCCGGCUUGAUACAGAAUUCCCCCCAGCUGGGUAUUACACCACAUUCUGAUGGUUUAAGGAAAUGGUGCCACUAUACUUCUAUACAGUGCAUUUUUACUUUCUCGUAUACGAAGUAUAAGGAAAGAAUUGUAUUUGUCCAAAAUUCGCCCUUGAGAUUU